rnacentral:rRNA from 1 species
AUUCCAGCUCCAAUAGCGUUUAUUAAAGUUGUUGCAGUUAAAAAGCUCGUAGUUGGAUUUCUGGCUGGAGCGAUCGGUCCGCCCCGCAAGGGGUGUGUACUAGCGUCGUCUCCGACCAUCCUUGUGGGAACUGUGCGGCCGUUAACUCGGUUGUAUAUGGGAACACAUCGUUUACUGUGAAAAAAUUAGAGUGUUUAAAGCAGGCUUAAGCCGUUGAAUACAUUAGCAUGGAAUAAUAAGAUAAGACUUGGGUCAUUAUUUUGUUGGUUUGCGGAUCGAGGUAAUGAUUAAUAGGGAUAGUUGGGGGUAUUCAUAUUUAAUUGUCAGAGGUGAAAUUCUUGGAUUUAUGAAAGAUGAACUUAGGCGAAAGCAUUUACCAAGGAUGUUUUCAUUA